rnacentral:rRNA from 1 species
AUUAGCUAGUUGGCGGGGUAACGGCCCACCAAGGCGACGAUGCGUAGGGGUUCUGAGAGGAAGGUCCCCCACACUGGUACUGAGACACGGACCAGACUCCUACGGGAGGCAGCAGUGAGGAAUAUUGGUCAAUGGGCGAGAGCCUGAACCAGCCAAGUCGCGUGAGGGAGUACUGCCCUAUGGGUUGUAAACCUCUUUUGUCGGGGAGCAAAAGCCGGACGUGUCCGGCUGUGAGAGUACCCGAAGAAAAAGCAUCGGCUAACUCCGUGCCAGCAGCCGCGGUAAUACGGAGGAUGCGAGCGUUAUCCGGAUUUAUUGGGUUUAAAGGGUGCGCAGGCGGAUUUUUAAGUCAGCGGUCAAAUCGUGGGGCUCAACCCCAUCCAGCCGUUGAAACUGGGGAUCUAGAGUGUGCGAGAGGUAUGCGGAAUGCGUGGUGUAGCGGUGAAAUGCAUAGAUAUCACGCAGAACCCCGAUUGCGAAGGCAGCAUACCGGUGCACAACUGACGCUCAGGCACGAAAGCGUGGGUAUCGAACAGGAUUAGAUACCCUGGUAGUCCACGCAGU